AGUCAUCUUCCCUGCCAUUGAGCAUCUUCCUGCACCGUCGAAGAUUAUUCUCCAGGUCCAACAUGCCGAUGUGCAUCCAAUGGUGUUAUUGACCCACCUCAUAAACAUCAACUUAUAUCAAAAGGAGGUACCAUUGUAACACCAUGCAGUUUUGGCAGUCUUCCCAUAGUGCUUGCUAUUUAUAUCUUUACAGAUAGAUUGAUUAUGCACUACGAUGCUUGACUUCUCAGGCGGGAACCUUCCGAUGCAAUGUGGUGAUUACCAGGGUUUCACAUUUGAAAAAAUGGUGGGCUACCUUCUGUGCAGACUGCCAUCACAUGUCCAUGCCAGCUACAACAUCGCUUACCCAGCCAGAUGUUUAUAUGUGCUCUCGUCGAUCUUGUUCAUGCACUAGCGCUACAAUUGGAUGAGAACAAUUCAAUGUUAUAUCAAUCAAUGGUCAUUUGCUCUCCCUGCUCAUUUCAUCUAUGUUAAUGUUCAGGUACACAUUGUUUGUCCAUCUAUGUUAAUGUCCAUCUACAUUUGUUUCCUUCGGUGGAUCUCCAGCUCAGUUUCCCCUUUCCAGUCAGCGCCGCCUCUAGGGUUUCACCUUCUCACCCUCCUGGUGAGUUUCUUCUGCUUUCGAUCCGCUUGUCUAGGUCGAUGUCCUCGGACGAUGUAUCCAACUUGUUUGCUUCGUGGUCUUGCUUCUCUCUUCUGUUGUUGGUGUGUUCCUUACAUUAUUAGUUUUGUUAGGGAUUGCCUUGAAGAACUUUUGAUUUAUGUCGAUCUAGAGCAACAAUGUAUUGAUUCUUGUCUUGCUAUAGCAUCUGUGAUCUAAUUGCCGCCCUCUUGUUGUUGCUCUUGCUAGAUGUCUUGUCUGGCUCUGUCCGAUCUACGUGCUGGUUGGGACAAACAGACCGUGUGCGUCCGUGUGUCUCGCCUAUGGCAUUACCGUGGUGGUUUAGAGAAUGGACCUGUCAAGCUUCUGCACAUGAUCCUCAUCGACGCUCAUGUGCGAUCCAGGACUCUUUAGAAAUGUAUCGCUUUUGUUUUGUGUUAGUCUAUGUCUGAUGCAGCACGAAACUGUUAUAGGGUAACCAUGGCUAUGCAGUUGUUCCGACAGAUUUUCUUGUCACUUAUAUUGAUAUGCUGCAUGAAGGCGUGGUGUAUGAGUUCAGUCGUUUCAGCGUGAUGUCUUCAUCAUGAACCCGGUCGAUGCGUCGUUGAUGAUCCAAUUUACACAAUUUACAAUUGUGAAGAAUUUUUUCGAUCUGAACGACGUAUUUCCGGAGUGGGCAUUCAACCUGACCCCACUAAAUGAAUUACCCCUUGCAAAUGAUACUCCCCAAGCCUACAUAGGUGACACAUAUUACACUCCUUGUCUCUUCUUAUGAUCUAUGAUAUGAUGUUCGGUGGACACCUCUGUACACUAAAUUAUAGUUUGCGCAUUUACUUGUGUAGAUGUUAUCUGGGUUAUCACGGCGAUUUCUCCUGUGAAAGCCACUCGGGUGCCCAAUACUCUUAGACAAGUAUUCAGGCGCCGUCUGAUCCUCUCUGACAAUAAGUAUGUAAUCUGAUCUGUUAUAUUUGACUGUCGUUCUCUUUUUCCUGUUGUCCAUUUUAUUAAAAAAGCUUAUAUUGAAUCCUCUUCUGCCAUUUUAUUCUCAUCUUACAUUAGUGGCCACGAACUUGGAAUAACCCUUUGGGGUGAGAGUGCUAUUCGAUUUAAUGGAGAGAGUGUGCAUUUCAUGGGUCAAACAGACCCGGCUAUCGUUAUCUUUGUCGGCACCACCGUUUGUAUGUAUGAAGGUGACUAGGAAACAACCCGAUGAAUGUGCUUGCUUGUUUCCCGCUGCCUUCGAUUUAUUUAAUGGUAUUAUUAUUUGUCAUGAGCUAGGGUCCAAGGAAUUAUCUGGUGGAUGUGCUUGCAAAUGAUAUGUUAACCAUGAUAUACCAGAGAUAAACAUAUUUAGGAGCAGGUGAGGGCCACGGUCUAUUCAUACGGCGUUUGUUUUCUCUAUUUUGUACUCAAGUAUUGUAUUCUCUCUGCUUCUUAGGCUCCCAGUCAUCUUCCCUGCCAUUGAGCAUCUUCCUGCACCGUCGAAGAUUAUUCUCCAGGUCCAACAUGCCGAUGUGCAUCCAAUGGUGUUAUUGACCCACCUCAUAAACAUCAACUUAUAUCAAAAGGAGGUACCAUUGUAACACCAUGCAGUUUUGGCAGUCUUCCCAUAGUGCUUGCUAUUUAUAUCUUUACAGAUAGAUUGAUUAUGCACUACGAUGCUUGACUUCUCAGGCGGGAACCUUCCGAUGCAAUGUGGUGAUUACCAGGGUUUCACAUUUGAAAAAAUGGUGGGCUACCUUCUGUGCAGACUGCCAUCACAUGUCCAUGCCAGCUACAACAUCGCUUACCCAGCCAGAUGUUUAUAUGUGCUCUCGUCGAUCUUGUUCAUGCACUAGCGCUACAAUUGGAUGAGAACAAUUCAAUGUUAUAUCAAUCAAUGGUCAUUUGCUCUCCCUGCUCAUUUCAUCUAUGUUAAUGUUCAGGUACACAUUGUUUGUCCAUCUAUGUUAAUGUCCAUCUACAUUUGUUUCCUUCGGUGGAUCUCCAGCUAAGUUUCCCCUUUCCAGUCAGCGCCGCCUCUAGGGUUUCACCUUCUCACCCUCCUGGUGAGUUUCUUCUGCUUUCGAUCCGCUUGUCUAGGUCGAUGUCCUCGGACGAUGUAUCCAACUUGUUUGCUUCGUGGUCUUGCUUCUCUCUUCUGUUGUUGGUGUGUUCCUUACAUUAUUAGUUUUGUUAGGGAUUGCCUUGAAGAACUUUUGAUUUAUGUCGAUCUAGAGCAACAAUGUAUUGAUUCUUGUCUUGCUAUAGCAUCUGUGAUCUAAUUGCCGCCCUCUUGUUGUUGCUCUUGCUAGAUGUCUUGUCUGGCUCUGUCCGAUCUACGUGCUGGUUGGGACAAACAGACAGUGUGCGUCCGUGUGUCUCGCCUAUGGCAUUACCGUGGUGGUUUAGAGAAUGGACCCGUCAAGCUUCUGCACAUGAUCCUCAUCGACGCUCAUGUGUGAUCCAGGACUCUUUAGAAAUGUAUCGCUUUUGUUUUGUGUUAGUCUAUGUCUGAUGCAGCACGAAACUGUUAUAGGGUAACCAUGGCUAUGCAGUUGUUCCGACAGAUUUUCUUGUCACUUAUAUUGAUAUGCUGCAUGAAGGCGUGGUGUAUGAGUUCAGUCGUUUCAGCGUGAUGUCUUCAUCAUGAACCCGGUCGAUGCGUCGUUGAUGAUCCAAUUUACACAAUUUACAAUUGUGAAGAAUUUUUUCGAUCUGAACGACGUAUUUCCGGAGUGGGCAUUCAACCUGACCCCACUAAAUGAAUUACCCCUUGCAAAUGAUACUCCCCAAGCCUACAUAGGUGACACAGAUUACACUCCUUGUCUCUUCUUAUGAUCUAUGAUAUGAUGUUCGGUGGACACCUCUGUACACUAAAUUAUAGUUUGCGCAUUUACUUGUGUAGAUGUUAUCUGGGUUAUCACGGCGAUUUCUCCUGUGAAAGCCACUCGGGUGCCCAAUACUCUUAGACAAGUAUUCAGGCGUCGUCUGAUCCUCUCUGACAAUAAGUAUGUAAUCUGAUCUGUUAUAUUUGACCGUCGUUCUCUUUUUCCUGUUGUCCAUUUUAUUAAAAAAGCUUAUAUUGAAUCCUCUUCUGCCAUUUUAUUCUCAUCUUACAUUAGUGGCCACGAACUUGGAAUAACCCUUUGGGGUGAGAGUGCUAUUCGAUUUAAUGGAGAGAGUGUGCAUUUCAUGGGUCAAACAGACCCGGCUAUCGUUAUCUUUGUCGGCACCACCGUUUGUAUGUAUGAAGGUGACUAGGAAACAACCCGAUGAAUGUGCUUGCUUGUUUCCCGCUGCCUUCGAUUUAUUUAAUGGUAUUAUUAUUUGUCAUGAGCUAGGGUCCAAGGAAUUAUCUGGUGGAUGUGCUUGCAAAUGAUAUGUUAACCAUGAUAUACCAGAGAUAAACAUAUUUAGGAGCAGGUGAGGGCCACGGUCUAUUCAUACGGCGUUUGUUUUCUCUAUUUUGUACUCAAGUAUUGUAUUCUCUCUGCUUCUUAGGCUCCCAGUCAUCUUCCCUGCCAUUGAGCAUCUUCCUGCACCGUCGAAGAUUAUUCUCCAGGUCCAACAUGCCGAUGUGCAUCCAAUGGUGUUAUUGACCCACCUCAUAAACAUCAACUUAUAUCAAAAGGAGGUACCAUUGUAACACCAUGCAGUUUUGGCAGUCUUCCCAUAGUGCUUGCUAUUUAUAUCUUUACAGAUAGAUUGAUUAUGCACUACGAUGCUUGACUUCUCAGGCGGGAACCUUCCGAUGCAAUGUGGUGAUUACCAGGGUUUCACAUUUGAAAAAAUGGUGGGCUACCUUCUGUGCAGACUGCCAUCACAUGUCCAUGCCAGCUACAACAUCGCUUACCCAGCCAGAUGUUUAUAUGUGCUCUCGUUGAUCUUGUUCAUGCACUAGCGCUACAAUUGGAUGAGAACAAUUCAAUGUUAUAUCAAUCAAUGGUCAUUUGCUCUCCCUGCUCAUUUCAUCUAUGUUAAUGUUCAGGUACACAUUGUUUGUCCUUGCGAAAGAUCGAAGUGGAGAGGCUGAAUUUGAAUUGUUUGGCACAAAGGCUCAACAAAUCAUCGAUCGAUCUGCUAGCCAGGUCCUUCGCAACAGCACUCACAUGGCCCUGCUAUUCCCAAUGUUCAUGUAGUGGCCUCAAUGCUAAGGAAAACCCCGCCUGAACUCAGUGGUCUCCUUUCCAUGAGAUGUAAGUUUGUUGUUCGUGCAUCGCCUGAAAGUUUCUUCGGAAGGUGGCCGAUGUUCCAUGUCGAUGCUAUUGAGUCCUUUGAGCCCGUCAAAUCGAACCUCUCUAUGAUAGAUUUGCUUACGCCAUCAUGAAGUGAUGCACGCAAGGAACUUCUUAUGAGAUCAGUGUGGAUGUUCCCUAGAGUUGAUUUUCGGUCUCCUGAGUGAUCUCUAGAUCUUUUGAUAAUGAACCUUUUUAUUAGUAGGAUUGUAAAUAUAUCGGUUCUGUAAACAGUAUUGUAUUAACUAUGACACUAUGGUCUUUUACCUUGGGACUAGGCUGCUGUUGAAAACAUGGUUAAAUAUAAUGUUCAUGUGCGUUUCCUUUCACUUAAAGAUCAGUCUAUUCACUUGACUGUAUG
rnacentral:lncRNA from 1 species